rnacentral:rRNA from 1 species
GAUGGAUAACAGGUUGAUAUUCCUGUACCACCUAUAAUCGUUUUAAUCGAUGGGGGGACGCAGUAGGAUAGGCGAAGCGUGCGAUUGGAUUGCACGUCUAAGCAGUAAGGCUGAGUAUUAGGCAAAUCCGGUACUCGUUAAGGCUGAGCUGUGAUGGGGAGAAGACAUUGUGUCUUCGAGUCGUUGAUUUCACACUGCCGAGAAAAGCCUCUAGAUAGAAAAUAGGUGCCCGUACCGCAAACCGACACAGGUAGUCAAGAUGAGAAUUCUAAGGUGAGCGAGCGAACUCUCGUUAAGGAACUCGGCAAAAUGACCCCGUAACUUCGGGAGAAGGGGUGCUCUUUAGGGUUAACGCCCAGAAGAGCCGCAGUGAAUAGGCCCAAGCGACUGUUUAUCAAAAACACAGGUCUCUGCUAAACCGUAAGGUGAUGUAUAGGGGCUGACGCCUGCCCGGUGCUGGAAGGUUAAGAGGAGUGGUUAGCUUCUGCGAAGCUACGAAUCGAAGCCCCAGUAAACGGCGGCCGUAACUAUAACGGUCCUAAGGUAGCGAAAUUCCUUGUCGGGUAAGUUCCGACCCGCACGAAAGGCGUAACGAUUUGGGCACUGUCUCAACGAGAGACUCGGUGAAAUCAUAGUACCUGUGAAGAUGCAGGUUACCCGCGACAGGACGGAAAGACCCCGUGGAGCUUUACUGUAGCCUGAUAUUGAAAUUCGGCACAGCUUGUACAGGAUAGGUAGGAGCCUUUGAAACGUGAGCGCUAGCUUACGUGGAGGCGCUGGUGGGAUACUACCCUAGCUGUGUUGGCUUUCUAACCCGCACCACUUAUCGUGGUGGGAGACAGUGUCAGGCGGGCAGUUUGACUGGGGCGGUCGCCUCCUAAAAGGUAACGGAGGCGCUCAAAGGUUCCCUCAGAAUGGUUGGAAAUCAUUCAUAGAGUGUAAAGGCAUAAGGGAGCUUGACUGCGAGACCUACAAGUCGAGCAGGGUCGAAAGACGGACUUAGUGAUCCGGUGGUUCCGCAUGGAAGGGCCAUCGCUCAACGGAUAAAAGCUACCCCGGGGAUAACAGGCUUAUCUCCCCCAAGAGUUCACAUCGACGGGGAGGUUUGGCACCUCGAUGUCGGCUCAUCGCAUCCUGGGGCUGUAGUCGGUCCCAAGGGUUGGGCUGUUCGCCCAUUAAAGCGGUACGCGAGCUGGGUUCAGAACGUCGUGAGACAGUUCGGUCCCUAUCCGUCGUGGGCGUAGGAAAUUUGAGAGGAGCUGUCCUUAGUACGAGAGGACCGGGAUGGACAUACCUCUGGUGUACCAGUUGUCGUGCCAACGGCAUAGCUGGGUAGCUAUGUGUGGACGGGAUAAGUGCUGAAAGCAUCUAAGCAUGAAGCCCCCCUCAAGAUGAGAUUUCCCAACUUCGGUUAUAAGAUCCCUCAAAGAUGAUGAGGUUAAUAGGUUCGAGGUGGAAGCAUGGUGACAUGUGGAGCUGACGAAUACUAAUCGAUCGAAGACUUAAUCAA